AGUUACCCUUGUUGUUGUCACAAGAUCAAGUAAAUUUACAGUACCAGUGAUAUCUUCAUCUUCAUCUAAUUCAAAUCAAGAUGAAGAAAAUUUUAAAUUAUUUUCUCAAAGAAAACAGUUAAUACAGUCUGUUUGUGAGAAGUACACCAAUCCUUUCAGACCUGAACACUACAGUCUUUAUGGAAGGAAAGUUACGCAUAUAUAUU